GAUGAAGAACGAGCGAAAUGCGAUAAGUAAUGUGAAUUGCAGAAUUCAGUGAAUCAUCGAAUCUUUGAACGCACAUUGCGCCCCCUGGUAUUCCGGGGGGCAUGCCUGUCCGAGCGUCAUUACAACCCUCAAGCUCAGCUUGGUGUUGGGCCCCGCCGCCCCGGCGGGCCCUAAAGUCAGUGGCGGUGCCGUCCGGCUCCGAGCGUAGUAAUUCUUCUCGCUCUGGAGGUCCGGUCGUGUGCUCGCCAGCAACCCCCAAUUUUUUUCAGGUUGACCUCGGAUCAGGUAGGGAUACCCGCUGAACUUAAGCAUAUCAAUAAGCGGAGGA
rnacentral:misc_RNA from 1 species